AUUUAGUUUAGUCAUUUGAAUAAUGCAAAAGCAUCUAAAGGGAAUCAGACACAGAGUUCUUAGUAAUGUAUGGCAAUUAAGUGCCUUAAAAUCUUGGGUUGCAAUUCUGCAAAGAGAGGCAUUAUUUCCUUCCAGCCUUGGGAAAUCAUUCCCACUGUAAUAUGUCAGGAAAUAGUUAUUAUCUUCUAAGACUGGGAUAGUGACAGAGCCUGGAUUACAACUACUCUGGACUCAUAGUCCUAUGCUCAGACUAUUAGGCUGCCAUGAUAUUGCAGAGCUAGAGUUAUUACCAAUUAUGUAGAACAAAAUCAUUACUAAGCGGAUUUUAACUAGUGCCUAAUUCAUUGUUAUCUUUCAGGGACACUUAAACACUCAUUAGCUGAACUCAUUCCAUAGAAGCUUUACAAGAAGUAAAGCAAAUUUUAGGGCAAAAUCACAAGGUUUGAAAAAGGGAAUCUGGCAUGUGCCAUGGAAAUGUGAAUUGGCCAAAGGGAAGUAGUGGCAAGCCCAAGAGGAUGUAGCUAACUGAAAGCUUAAUGUAGACUGACACCAAACUGCAAUGCUUUGAGGAACGAAAACAAAAAAUAAAUUGAGUAUUAAACAUGAUCUGAAAAAUAAAUUUUAAAAGUUAAGGGCCCACGUUGUGGCAUGGUGGAUAAAGCAGCCACCUAAGUGCUGGCACCCAAUAUAGGUGCUGGUUGAGUCCAGGCUGCUCCACUUCCCAUCCAGCUCCGCUUUGGCCCAGGAGAGCAACAGAAGAUGGCCCAAGUCCUUGGGCCCCGCCUCGACCGGCAUGGGAGACCAGGAAGAAGCUCCAGGCUCCUGGCUUCAGAUAGGCCCAGCUCUCACUGUUGCAGCCAUCUGCGGAAUGAACCAACGGAAGGAAGACCUCUCUCUCCCUCUGCCUCUGCCUCUCGACGCUGCUAUGAAAUGCACGAACUGUUGAGUCACGGGCUUUCUGCUGCACACGAGGGAAGAGUCGGAGGGAUCCCUGACACACAUCACGUCUGACAGGAUUCAUAGCUGAAAAAGGACAGGAGUGCUCUGGUGAUCAACAUUAUCCACUGAAUACAACUGUGAAGGCAAAUGAAGGUUUUAACGGCUAAGAGAAAAAGGCUGGCCUUGUGAAGAAAUAAUAUUUAGAACCUUGAGGCUGGACAAUAUUCCAAUGAAGAGUAGGAGACCUUCCAACAAAGCAACAGCUUGGUAGGGAAUAACAGCAUUAAGCAAGGAUUCCUGUAUUCUGCAAAGCUAAAAGAGCCUACGGAUGAACAAGUAAAAUUUCCAAGUUUACAAAAGAAGAAACAGACUCACUGAAGAAAAAGUGACAUGACCAAGAGGGAAUUAUGUUCAAGGACUUUCAGGACAGUGAUCCUGGGAACUGAAGGAGACUAGAGCUAUGUACAAUGGAAGUCCUGGACCGAAGUUCAUGAAGUACUCACAAAUGAUAAAACAUUACAACUUCUAACUAAAGAUCGUAAGACACAGAACAUCAGAGUUACAGAAUAAUCUUCAAGUAGCUCUGAAAUCUAUAUUUAAAAAGUUAAUGUACUCAAAUAUACUGAAAAGUUCCUUAAAAUUUUAUAUUGCUCAAACUAUUUCUAAGGGUAAGAUAAAUGACAUUCUUAAUUGAAACUGAAAAAGGGAUAUAAAGAAAUUAAAAAGGUUAGAGCUGAAUAAAUCAAAUGAAGUUUACUCUAAAUGCUAAAAUCAUUAAGUCAACUGAAAUAAAUUAAAACCAUGAUUAAAACAGCAUCUAUCAAAUUACUGAUAAGAAUUUAAACUACGAAGACAAACACAGUUAAUUCCUGUUAUACUUAUUCCAGAAUUUUUUAUAUUUCCCUGUUUCAAAAGAGCCUCUGGUUUGUAAACAAAAGGAUCUCUAAAAACAGGGAACUAUCUCUAAAAGUGAAACAAAUUAAUCUCUCAAAGUUAUACAGAGUCAGAAUCACAGUAAAAGCUGCAGCCCUUCACAAUAGUUUUGUUACUUUUCUAAAGAUUGUCUCUGCCUCACCAUUCCCCUCUCACCAAGGACUGCUUCUUAGCCAUUUUCGAAGUCCUUCCAUACAUACUGAAGACUCAGCCAGCGAAGAGUACUGGCUUACUCCUGAUACCCAGUGCUUCAGAUCGAAAUUUAAUAUUCCCUUCAAGAGUAAGCCACUCAAUCACUUUAUUCUGGUUGCAAUCACUUGGUGGCUGGAGUAGCAUCUGGAUCACUUAGCGUGGUAAAGAAAGAUUACCAAAAGAAUGCCACAGUUGUCUAUGAUACAUUCUGUACGGAAACUACACAGGUACUAGGGUCCAGAGACAUCAAGCCCACCCUUGGCCACGGCCCAAUAAAAGAGGGAGAGAGCAAUUUGCCAGUAUUCAAAUCAAGAUUUCACUCACCAGAUGCUUUUUAAAAACCUAAAUCCCAUUUAUAUUAAUACAAGGUUUGUUUUAAGCCAUUUCUAGCUAGUCACGAAAUCAUCACAUCCUAGAAAUACUCAUUCUGGCCUGGCUAAAAAGUUAUCAAGUAAAAAUGUUUACCAUCCCUAUAACUUAACUUUUUCUUUUUUAAAGCUAAUCAAUCAUGGAUUUCCCCUACCUUAUAAGUGUGACUGGUGAGUUUUGAAUUUCACUGAAAAUUAGAAGUAUGAUGGCAUAAACACAAAUUAAGUCCACCAAGUCAAACAAAAUAAGAAACAUAAAGGUUAUAGAUUUUUAAUAUACUAGAGAAAACAGCAAGGAGCCAAGGUGAAAGAUUCGGUAGGAAUUCCAUCAAUACUCUGCCAAUUGUGGGGCAAGGGAGACAUGUAUUAAACUGUAUUUUCAGGUCUUCACACUAUGAAGUAUCAUUAUGCAACUUGACUUUGUAAU